CGGAGGAAGGAGGCCGGCGCACAGAGGACGAGAGGUGACGGCGCGUGGGGAGGGAGGAAACAGUGCCUAGUGCGGCGCCGGAGCUCGCCAGCACGCGGAAGGAGGUAGCGGCGGUGGCGGAGCGCCGGCAAGCUCUCCGCGCCCUGGCCGCCGUCCUCCUCACCUCACUCCUGCGUGCUGGCGAGCUCCGGUGCCGCACUAGGCACCGUUCCCUCCCUCCCCGCGCGCCAUCACCGCUCGUCCUCUGUGCGCCGGCCUCCUUCCUCCG
rnacentral:pre_miRNA from 1 species